CGAAUUCAUUUUUGUAUAAAUAGCGGCUGUAAUUCAUCUACAACUACAUCCCAGCUAGCGAAGUCAACAGUUAACAGACCAUAUCUUCACCUGUAAAACAGUUCCUAAAAAUGAAUUUCUUCAAAGUAGUUUUCAUGGUAGCUGCCGCUGUUGCCGCUUUGGGCGGUUAUUACGUGGAAGCUGCUCUAAGUGCUACUGCCAAUCCCGAAGCCAACUAUUUGGGAGCCACAAGCAAAUACGAAUAAUAAAAAAGAUAUGCUUUUCUUGAAA